rnacentral:rRNA from 1 species
AUUGAACGCUGGCGGCAGGCCUAACACAUGCAAGUCGAGCGGAAACGAUCCUAGCUUGCUAGGAGGCGUCGAGCGGCGGACGGGUGAGUAAUGCAUAGGAAUCUGCCCGGUAGUGGGGGAUAACCUGGGGAAACCCAGGCUAAUACCGCAUACGCCCUACGGGGGAAGCAGGGGAUCUUCGGACCUUGCGCUAUCGGAUGAGCCUAUGUCGGAUUAGCUAGUUGGUGAGGUAAAGGCUCACCAAGGCUGCGAUCCGUAGCUGGUCUGAGAGGAUGAUCAGCCACAUCGGGACUGAGACACGGCCCGAACUCCUACGGGAGGCAGCAGUGGGGAAUAUUGGACAAUGGGCGAAAGCCUGAUCCAGCCAUGCCGCGUGUGUGAAGAAGGCCUUCGGGUUGUAAAGCACUUUUCAGUGAGGAAGAAAG